CAGCCGCCGCGGUAAUACAGAGGGUGCGAGCGUUAAUCGGAUUUACUGGGCGUAAAGCGUGCGUAGGCGGCUUCUUAAGUCGGAUGUGAAAUCCCUGAGCUUAACUUAGGAAUUGCAUUCGAUACUGGGAAGCUAGAGUAUGGGAGAGGAUGGUAGAAUUCCAGGUGUAGCGGUGAAAUGCGUAGAGAUCUGGAGGAAUACCGAUGGCGAAGGCAGCCAUCUGGCCUAAUACUGACGCUGAGGUACGAAAGCAUGGGGAGCAAACAGGAUUAGAUACCCGAGUAGUCCCUGUCUCUUAUAA
rnacentral:rRNA from 1 species